rnacentral:lncRNA from 1 species
GAGUUUGCGGAUGCUGGUGGUUGCGGUUUCGAGUGGUUUUAAGAGAUUUGUACGACUGGUUCUGCGGUUAGAAAUUAAUGCGUUUGCGGGACACUUAUGACUGGUUAACUACCAAAUACAGCAGCGGUUAAAUAAUAAAUUAACAAUAUUUACAUUUUAUAUAAUUAUAAAAUAUCAAAAAAUCAUAAUACUAUAAUAAAUAUGAAAAUUACAUUUAGAAAGUUAUAGAUUUAAAAUUUUAAAAUGAUAGAAAAUAUUUUUAUUUUAAAAUUCUAUAAUAUUAAUUAAAAUAUAAUAGAUAUAUUUUAGUAUUUUUACAAUUCCAAUUUAAAAAUUUUAUUGAAUAUUUUUAUUUUUGUAUUUAUAUGGUUUUUGAAAAAAAAAGAAAAAAAAAAUUAUCCUCCCACAACCGUCCGCAACCG